GAUCCUGGCUCGGGAUGAACGCUAGCUACAGGCUUAACACAUGCAAGUCGAGAGGCAGCAUGGCGAUAGCUUGAUAUUGUUGAUGGCGACCGGCGCACGGGUGAGUAACGCGUAUCCAACCUGCCCUUGUCCAUCGGAUAACCCGUCGAAAGGCGGCCUAACACGAUAUGCAGUUCUCAGCAGGCAUCUAACGAGAACGAAAUGUAAAGGAGAAGGAUGGGGAUGCGU
rnacentral:rRNA from 1 species